rnacentral:rRNA from 1 species
UACGAAGGGGGGCUAGCGUUGCUCGGAAUCACUGGGCGUAAAGGGCGCGUAGGCGGAUCUUUAAGUCGGGGGUGAAAGCCCAGGGCUCAACCCUGGAAUUGCCUUCGAUACUGAAGAUCUCGAGACCGGAAGAGGUAAGUGGAACUGCGAGUGUAGAGGUGAAAUUCGUAGAUAUUCGCAAGAACACCAGUGGCGAAAGGCGGCUUACUGGUCCGGUUCUGACGCUGAGGCGCGAAAGCGUGGGGAGCAAACAGGAGUAAGAAACCCUUGAUAC